UUUGCUGCAUUCAAGUACAAAUACUUGACAACCACAACAUUGUGAGUGCCGAAAUGGCAAAGACCUCAUAUCGAAGACAAGAUGUCGUUCAGGCCCUUCCUGUGAAGGACUUCAAAGAAAGAUGGCCAGCCCUGUUUGAGCCCACUCAGAUUAAGGAAGAGUUCAGAAGAAUUACAACUGUUGCUCUUGAGUUCACCUUUAUCCAGAAGCUGGACGAAUAUACACCAAAACUGUUGGACUUGUUUAUGUCAAAAGGAGGUGCUGUAAAGUGCAACACCAUCUAGGAGAGAGGAGACAGUGUGAUCCGUGGCCUGAUCAUAUACCUCGGCGAGAGGGUUGAAGACCUUAUUGCAGAAUACAAGGAUGCUGACAACACCAUGAUCCGAGAAGACCUCAUUCAGCAUGUGAUGAAGGUGUUCACUGUGAAGGAUCUGCACCAGAAUAUAGAGCAUGGGAUCUGCAUCGAAGGAGCAGAGGUCCUGGCUGGUAUUCGCAGUGUUGCACAGUCAUGUACCUUGCUUUUGGGCCUCAACUAUGGCUUAAAUCUAAGGUACCCCAAAGAACUGAAAUAUACCUUUGAGGUGUUCCAAAAAGUAUUCUUGGAACUUGAUGAUCUCAGGACCUCCCCACAGGUCCAAGCUAUAAAGAUUAAGUUACUUAUUUUCAGAGAUAUCUAGAGAUAUCUAUGAGAACUCUCAAAGGGCCACUCACAAACUGUGCUGUAAACCCUACUUAGAAAGCUGAAAAUCUAGUUGCUAGGUGGUAUAGGAGCUACAGUUUACAUGAUGCUCUUUUUCAGGUGGUCAUAUGAAACAUUGUCAAUUCCUGUUAAAAACACUGCUUUGUUUUAAAACUUACUCCAUAUGCACUAGUGGAUUUCUGAGAUUAUUUGUAGUCAGGUGCAAGCUAUCUGGAUGUAACUGUAACUUUAAAACCAUACACCCCUCUCGGUCACACUGUCUUAAGGUUUCCUUUAUUUGAUCAAAUACAGCAAUACGCUCUGUACCCUCAAUAGGAGCAUAAACAUUACAAAAAAAAUUAAAAAAUAAAACAUAACAUCCACCUUGACCAAUAAAACCCGACCCUUGACAAUCUCUGUUGUAGAUACCACAGUCACUCCUAAGCCUGAAUAAAGCAAAAUUGCCACCCCAGCACUGAAAUUAGUACCAUGACUGAGUAUAUGCUGCCCCUCCCACCACAUACCCCAGUCAACCUCAU